rnacentral:rRNA from 1 species
GAUGAACGCUGGCGGCGUGCCUAACACAUGCAAGUCGAGCGAAGCGCCUUACUUGAUUUCUUCGGGAUGAAAGUAUUGUGACUGAGCGGGCGUCGGGUGAAGGUACGCGUAGAGUAACCUGCUCAUACAGGGGGGUAACAGUUAGAAAUGGCUGCUAAUACCGCAUAAGACCACGGUACUGCAUGGUACAGUGGUAAAAACUCCGGUGGUAUGAGAUGGACCCGCGUCUGAUUAGGUAGUUGGUGAGGUAACGGCCCACCAAGCCGACGAUCAGUAGCCGACCUGAGAGGGUGACCGGCCACAUUGGGACUGAGACACGGCCCAG